AAUCAACGCUGGCGGCGUGCCUCAGACAUGCAAGUCGAACGCGAAAGUUCCCUUCGGGGAGCGAGUAGAGUGGCGCACGGGUGAGUAACACGUAGGUAAUUUACCUUCGGGUGGGGAAGUAACAGCCGGAAACGGCUGCUAAUACCGCAUAAUGCAGCGGCUCGACAUCGAGACAGUUGUUAAAGCGGGGGAGUCGCAAGACCUCGCGCCUGAAGAGAAGCCUGCGGCAGAUUAGCUAGUUGGUGGGGUAAGUGGCUCACCAAGGCGACGAUCUGUAGCCGGCCUGAGGAGGGCGGUCGGGCCACACUGACACUGACAUACGGGUCAGACUCCUACGGGAGGCAGCAGUCGGGAAGUUUUGGGUCGAAU
rnacentral:rRNA from 1 species